ensembl:lncRNA MALINC1 mitosis associated long intergenic non-coding RNA 1
AGUCCACCAAAAGAUGUCAAACCAAAUCCAGCCUAUUGUAAAGCUCUGGGACCUCCCUUCCAAGGACACCGAACACAAGCUUAGACACCGCUGCGAAAAGCUGUCCAAAAGCGCCUGGCCGGACAGAAAUGGUUGCCGUGCAGGGAGUGUCAGCCACGUCUAGCGCACAGUCCCAGGCCCCAGGGCGAAGGCGGCCAGGGGAAAUGGGGCUCAGGGAUUGCUAAGCAAACGCAUCACUGGUGGUCUCCAGCGCCUGCGGAGGCAGUGCCUGAUGGCUGAGAAGAAUCGCAGAGGACUAGAAAAGGUUUGAGUCUGAAAUUAUCUGGCACAGAGGAUUAAAGCUCAGAAAUAAGUGAUUGCGAAACAGUUCAACUUCCCUGUUAAUGACAACAACAACAGCAACACGCUUAUUAAUUCCUAGCUGGAGCAUCAAGCUUAUGAAGAUUUCCAAGACUUUAUUGUUGACCCUUGUUGAAGAGAACUCUACUUGGCUUCUUUCCUGGCUUUCCUAAAUUGUUCACAUACAAGAUAAACUACCGUCAUUCAGACUUACAGAAGUGAGAAGACAAGCUGAACCAAAUGUAAAAUGGUAGCAAUUUACAGACAGUGUCUCCUUCUGUCGUCCAGGCUGAAGUGCAGCGGCGCGAUCUUGGCUCACUGCAACCUCCACUUCCCCAGCUCGAGUGAUUCUCCUGCCUCAGCCGCUGGAGUAGCUGGGACUACUAGGCGCGGGCAACCACACUCAGAGAAUUUUUGUAUGUUUUGUAGAGAUGAAAUUUCGUCAUGUUGUCCAAGCUAGUGGGAGCUAAAAUGGUACAAUCUUUCACUUCAGGAAGCUAACUUGGUAAUAUGUAUCAAAAGCCUUAUUUAAUGCACAUAUCCUUUGGUAUAGCAAUUUUAUUUCUGCAGGUUGAUUUUUAAAAAUUAAUUCAAGAUACAUAUCUAUUAGAAUGGCCAAAGUCCAGAACAUGACAACACCAAAUGCUGGUGAGGAUGUGGAGCAACAGGAACUCUGGUUCAUUGCUGGUGGGAAUGCAAAAGGGCACAGCCACUUUGGAAGAUAGUUUGACAGCUUCUUACAAAACUAAACAUACAUCUUACUAUAUAAUCCAACAUUUGAACUCUCUGGUGUUUACCAAAAGGAGUUGAAAACUUAUGUCCAUACAAAGACGUGCACAUGGAUGUUUAUAGCAUCUUUUAUAAUUACCAAAACUUGAAAGCAACUGAGUUGGCCUUCAUUAGAGGAAUGAAUAAACUGUGGUAUACCCAGUAAAUGAAAUAUUCAUUGCUAAAAAGAAAAAAGCUAUCAAGCCAUGAAAAGACGUGCAGGAACCUUAAAUCCAUAUUGCUAAGUGAAAGAAGCCAAUUGAAAAAGUUACGUAUUAUAUGAUUCCAAACUGUAUCACAUUCUGGAAAAGGCAAAACUAUGGAGAGAGUAAAAGGAUCAGUAGUUGCCAGAGUAUGGGGCGAGGGAAGGAUGAAUAGAUGGAGCACAGAGGAUUUUCAGGGCAGUGAAAAUACUAUAUGAUACUAUAAUGAAUGUAUGUCCAAACCCAUAGAAUGUACACCACCAAGAGUGAACCCUAAUGUAAGGUAUAGACUUUGGAUGAUAGUGGUGUAUCAAUGUAGGUUUAUCUGUUGUAAUGUAUGUACCGCUCUGGUGGGGGAUAUUGUAAUUGGGAGCCUGAACAUGUAUGACGGCAGAGGCCAUAAGGGAAAUCUCUGUACCUUCCUUUCAAUUUGGCUGUGUGCCUAACACUGCUCUAAAAAAAAAAUACAAUCUUAAAUAUAAUAAAAUUGGAUCACAUCACACACCAUAAAAAAGAAAGACAUUAAUUGAAUUUGUAUGAAGAUUAAGGUACAAGGAUGUUCAUUUUAGACCUUUAUUGGAGCAAAAAAUAUUGUAAACAACUUAGAUAUACCAUAAGAGCAGAGUUUAAUUAUGGAAUAUUUGUACAAUAGAAUAUUCCUUGCCUCCCACAUCUAAGUCAUCAGAGCAAGUUCUCCAUUACCUCCAGAAUAGAUUCUGAUUCUGUUCAAUACUCUCCAUCUCAAUGGCCACCAUUCGAGAACAAUGCCUCACCCUCCUUCAUCUGGAUACUAAACAUCUUCCUAACUGGUCAUCCUGCUCCAGCUUCUACUCCUUUGAUCCAUUCUUCACAUAGCAGUCAGAGCUGUCUACUUUGCUGCCUGGCUAGCUAGCUAACCAUUUGUUUAAAGUAUUAAAAGCACCCAUAAACCUACCACAUUAGGCCCCUACCCGUACCAUGCCCUAACUCCUCCCAUGCCAGGCAGCCAUCAACCUGAAUCCCCACUCCCUUGCUUUCCUUUUUAUAUAGUGUUAUUGUAUUUAUAAGCAUUCCUAAAUA